AGACUGAAAGCACAGCACAGGCCCUGAGAACAAAAGGUCCUCUCACAGAUUUGCACUUUCCAAACACCAUUGAUGUAUGUGAAAGAAAACACAGACGAUAAAUUCUCAUCCUCAGCGCACAUUUCAAGACAUCACUUUAAUUAUUCCUAUCACUUCUGUUGUCUGUUGCACUCCCCCAACGUAUGAGCAAUACUUCCCAUGUUUUCAGCAGCACUUUUUGUGUACCCAAUGUGCAGGUGCAGCAAAUACCUUGGCAAGGGGGAAAGUGAUUAUCACUUAAGAAAACAGUAACACUGUAUAGUUCCUACUUCUUCAAGGUCUUGAGCAAAGCAUAAAUUCUCAUGAAAACGAAGUCACUGCACUUCAAACAUCAGACAGCGAAGUAGGUUAAGUCUACAGAGCUGCACUUCAUUUUUUCUGAGAACUCUGCGCUUUCUUGUACGUAUUUCAAAAAUAUGCACUGGUGAACUUUUAACAUACUAAGUACUGUUGAAUCCUAUGCAUUAAUGUUGGUCAUCUCAUAUUUCAUCCUCUGUUUUAGUCUGCAGUAGUUUUUAACAGCCUUACAGUUCAUAAGAAGUGGUACUGUGUAAGGAAUAUAAAUAUUUUUUAUUCUCCCUAAUAUAUACUUUUCUAUUCCAGGUUUAUUCUUUCUGCAAGUGGAGUGGAUCGUGAUCUGGCUCGUUGUUCCUUUUUCCUAUGCAUAUACUUCUUUGAGAAUUGCUUCUAAAGAGGUAUAGGGCAUGGGAAAAUGGGGCAACAGAGGUACUUCACCACUCAUCUCGAACAGCAUCGUGAAGGCAGCGGCAGAAAUGUUUGGAGAAAGCAGACGGGCAAAGAAAUGAAAGGUAAAUUUAUGGAACUCGCAAUUAAUCCUCAAAACUUGCAUAGAAAGAUACUGGCAAUAUUCACUGUGAUCUAACAUCUAAAUGUUGGUUUCCUCUUAAAAUCUGAUUUAUUACAAGAGCAAUGUUUUAAGCUUGUCUCCAAUGACAUUAUUAAAUACAUCACUUGGUCUAAUGUAAAACACAUGCCUUGCUAAGAAGUUGCUCCUGUGGGUCCUUAUUCCAUAAGUGUGCAAUUGAAAACAGCAGAUGCAGCCACACAAAUGUCCAGAACGCUGCCCUUUGUCUCACAGGUGCCGGGAUCAGCCCCCCCAGAAUCCAGGUAAUGCUCACUCACCUGUGUAAAGCCCACUCACACCAGUGCUGCCCAAGUGGGUUGUCUGUAACGUGUCAAUUAUUCUCAGGAUUUUGUCCCUUCCGAUUCUAAGUACCUUUUACAUGAUGCAUGUGUGUGUGGAAUUGCAAAGUCUUCUCUUGUAAAACUCAGUUAAUGCUAAAUCAAAUUAAAAACAUAUUAAUUUUCUUUUCUUUCAUCCACAGGUGUCUUGGAAGAAGAAGUAGAAAAUCUCUUUGCUCAUUUUAUUUAAUAGAAAAACAGUCAUUAAACACAAUUUUUAUGUAUUUAUUUUAUUAAAGUAAUUUCCAAUUACUUUACUCUAAAUAGCAAUGUGUCACAUCAGUUUUGGGGGGAAAAGUAUUGGUUUUAUGAAACAAUGUAACUGUACAUAAUGCUUGUCAAAUAAAUAUUUGAUGUUUCAGUCAUAUAUCAAAA